rnacentral:rRNA from 1 species
AUUGUAAUUAAUUGUACUAAAGUAGUAAUAGUUAUGUUCUUGAAACUUAAAAAAUUUGGCGGUAUUUUAGUCUAUCCAGAGGAACCUGUUUUGUAAUCGAUAAUCCACGAUGGACCUUACUUAAGUUUGUUAUCAGUUUAUAUACCGUCGUUAUCAGAAUAUUUUAUAAGAAUAAUAAUAUUCAAAAAUUUUAAUAAUAAUUUAUAUCAGAUCAAGGUGUAGCUUAUAUUUAAGUAAUAAUGGGUUACAAUAAAAUUAUUUAAACGGAUAAAAUUAUGAAAAAAUUUUUGAAGGUGGAUUUGGUAGUAAAAUUAUAAAGAUUAAUAAUUUGAUUUUAGCUCU